ACCGUCAUUUUUAGGUAAAAUGAUUUUGACAAGAGAAAAAGUGAUUUUGACAAUCUCAAAAUUACUCCCAAACACAACUUUAGUUCUAAGCAUGUACUAGUGUGUUAAUAUGAACAAGAUUUCUAGUUGAAAAAAAUUUAAAAUGGAACAUUGGACAAAAACAAGUUUAAUGUAAAAAGAAAAAGUAACAUUGCUAGGAUCAAAAUUGUUCUUUUGUGAAUGUUUUUUUUACUAAAAGAAAAUUUUUGAAAGAUUAGAAAUCAUAACAGAACUAAUUUGAGAGUUGAAGGAUCCAAUCAAACAUUUUAAAGGUUUAAAGAUUAUAUUAUAUAUAUAUAUAUAUAUAUAUUUAAAGGGGUUAUGCGGGAAAAGUCUUUACAUGCUCCUUUUGUCUCUACAGUUUUUAUGAAUUUCCACAUUAUUCUUUGUCGAGUGGUUGUAAUUUUUCGAGCAUUUACCUUCGUCAAGUGGUUGUGACUUUUCGAGUGCAAUUGAUGUUAAGAGAUAGAACGGAAUAGAUGUCAUUUGGAUGCAUUUGUUCGGAUUGGAGAUUGUUACACAUUAAAUUAUUAGGUGUAAUGAUUAUUUGAAUGUAUAUGUGAGAUGCUUGUGUAAAAGAAAUGCAAAAUAAAAACUCCCAAUUACCUAAUAAAUAAAAACAAUGAGAUUCAAAGUUUAGAGAAAGUUUUAAAAAAUAUAUUUAAUUGAAGGAAAGUAGUAACAAUGCAAUCAUAGCAUGUACAUUGAAGAUACUGUAUAUCUGGUGUAACUUCAUGGUAUAACAUUAGAACAAAUAAUAAUGAGUUAUCUAAAAAAAAAUAAAACUACAAAAUAUAACGUCCAUCGCACCUGUUGCUCAAUUAGUAUGAGUAAAAGAUAACAUAGUUUCACUAAUGGCAAAAUUGAUGAAACUUUUACCGAACAUAGCAAAAUGUGAUAUUUUAUCACUGAUAAGCGCUUACAAACACCGAUAUAAUACUUCUAUUACUAACAGACACUGAUUGAAGUUUUCUAAUGGUGUCUAUCAAUGUCUAUCAUUGAUAGAAUAUGAAAUGUUACUAUAUUUUGUAAAUAUUUUAAAUUCAUUUUGUUAUAUGUGAAAAUGCCCUUUUUUCAAAUGGAUAUUCUCAUAUAUUUUUUAAUUUUUCGAUUCUUAGCUUACAACAAAUUUUCUCAACAACCAAAAUAGAAACCAAAAUUUUAAGUUAAAAUAUUAAAUCACAUAAAAUUUCACAAAAUUUCCAAAAUCAUAACCUCCCCAUAAAACAUACCAAAAUGAUAAGCAGUCAAAUGAAAAAAGUAUUCGGCUAUCAAGGCACACUCAACUAUUAAUGUAAUUUUGUUAAAAUAUGUAAGGCUUUGAAAUAAUUUGGCUCUUUAUUUAUUAUAGUUCUUCUUAUUAUAGUUCAUAUACCUUAAUUAAAGUGUACAAUCUUAUUAUUUAUUUAUUUUAGAUAAGCAAGUGUUAUUGAGCUCGUUAGUUUUUCGUUCGCUUUAACAGUACCAUCAAUGUAUUAACGCGAGAUACUUUUCCAGUUCGCUUUCUUAAGUGGGAUGAUGUGACACCAAAGUACAUUGAGCUCGUUAAGGGUGGUUUACAGCACUUACUUGGUUUGUUGAGCAUCAAAUGUUCACCAUGUGGAAGGAGUUCAAGGGAUAGAACCACCGCCAUUUUAAGAAGUUCGAUGAUUCUAAACAGGCUCAUGCUAACCCACCCCAAGAUUGAGCAAUCGGGUGCAAGAUUGGCACUUCCUCUAUGACCACUACUUCACUCGAUAAUUUCAGGAGCAAUUGUUGAUGAACAAGGCUGCUAGAGUGAAGCAGUCCUACAACCACAGCAGCGGCGCAAAGUCGUUUUUACAACGACAAUACGAGCUCACUGAACAGCGGGAUCAUCUAAUCCAUCGUGUGAAGUUAUUUAGGAAAACACACGCUUGGGAUGGCCUGUUCGUUUCACAGGUGGCUGCUGAUGUGCAUAAUCAAAUGCCGGAACUCCAGUCCCAACCUGCCCCAUAAGGUUCUCAAGCACUCUCUGGGGACGAAAUAUGCGAGACUGUUUUGGGUAAACGAUCAGGCUGUUUAAAAGGUCUUGGUUGGGUCCCCAAGCUAAAGUUUCGACAUGCUGUUGGCAAUUCUUCAUCUACAUCUGUCGAGCGAGAGCUAGUCCACGUCAGGGAGGUUAAUGAGGAGCUAAAAACUUGUCUUGAGGUUGUAGAAGAGGAGAGUAAUUGGAAGCAGGAAGAAAGUAUUCGCUUGAUAGAAACACAAACUUAGCAGAUGGAAGAAAUGAGGAAAAUGAUUAAAGACCUCUAUCGGGCUUCAAGAGAACCUUAAUUUCAUUGAGAUUCGAAGGCGUGGGGACUUUCAUGGGACACCAGCAUAGAUUAUGUGUUUAGUUUUCUGUUUUUAGUUUAAGUUUUUUGUUUUCAGUUUAAGUUUUUCGUUUUCAUUAUGUAUGUAAUUUCUAAACUAUGAACAUGUAUUUUUGAAUUAUUUUUAAUAUAAAUUUCAUUUGGUAUUUCAUUA